AAGUCGUAACAAGGUUUCCGUAGGUGAACCUGCGGAAGGAUCAUUACCGUUAACAAUGCUUCAUUGCAUGUAACACUCGGUUGCACCCUCGUUAAUCGUCGCAUCGAUGGGCUUACGGGUGAAACCGCGGGCUCGUCGAAGCGGCGCGGCGGCUUCGUAGUCGUCGAUACGCAUCGCUGCGCUGGCGCGCGCAGUCUCAAUAUCCGGGUACCUGUUGCAGCCGGCCGUAUUUGGCGAGGUUUAAUGAAUCGUCGUCGGUCGCCCGGGCGCGUGCCGCGCAACAUUUCUCUUAACCGUUAUCUUAACUGUUACUACGAUAGCUAGAGCGUCGAACGUGCCCUACCGGAUGCCUCCGGUCGAGCGCGCGGUCGAUCGCUUGCGCUUCUAAAACAAACAUGAUAACUCUUGGCGGUGGAUCACUCGGCUCGUGU
rnacentral:misc_RNA from 1 species